AUUUAAAAACGCCAUCUAUUUGUAUAGUUAAAAACUGGCGUGUAUGAUGGACUAACAAGACACUGACAAGUGGCAUGUCACGUGUACCUCAUACUAAUGUACAAAGACUAGUUUUUAAUGGUAGAAAUGGAUGAAAUUUGUAACA
rnacentral:pre_miRNA from 1 species